UACGUAGGGGGCAAGCGUUGUCCGGAAUCAUUGGGCGUAAAGCGCGCGUAGGCGGUCAGACAAGUCCGGUGUGAAAGUCACAGGCUCAACCUGUGAAUGCCGCUGGAAACUGUCUGGCUAGAGUCCGGAAGGGGCGAGUGGAAUUCCUGGUGUAGCGGUGAAAUGCGCAGAUAUCAGGAGGAACACCUAUGGCGAAGGCAGCUCGCUGGGACGGUACUGACGCUGAGGCGCGAAAGCGUGGGGAGCAAACAGG
rnacentral:rRNA from 1 species